GAUGAACGCUAGCGGCAGGCCUAAUACAUGCAAGUCGAACGAGCUACAGGACUUCGGUUCUGUGGUUAGUGGCGCACGGGUGCGUAACGCGUAUGCAACCUACCUUCCACAGGGGGAUAGCCUUCCGAAAGGAAGAUUAAUACCGCAUAACACCAUGAAGUGGCAUCACUUUAUGGUCAGAGCUGAGGCGGUGGAAGAUGGGCAUGCGUGCCAUUAGUUAGUUGGUAGGGUAACGGCCUACCAAGACUUCGAUGGCUAGGGGUUCUGAGAGGAUGGUCCCCCACACUGGUACUGAGACACGGACCAGACUCCUACGGGUGGCAGCAGUAGGGAAUAUUGGGCAAUGGAAGAGAUUCUGACCCAGCCAUGCCGCGUGCAGGAAGGAGGCCUUCUGGGUUGUAAACUGCUUUUAUCUGGGAAGAAAACGCUCCUGCGGGGGUAACUGACGGUACCAGAUGAAUAAGCACCGGCUAACUCCGUGCCAGCCGCCGCCGUAACAC
rnacentral:rRNA from 1 species